ACCUCCUACGGGACGCAGCAGUGGGGGAUAUUGCACAAUGGGGGGAACCCUGAUGCAGCGACGCCGCGUGGGUGAAGAAGCGCCUCGGCGCGUAAAGCCCUGUCAGCAGGGAAGAAAAUGACGGUACCUGAAGAAGAAGCCCCGGCUAACUACGUGCCAGCAGCCGCGGUAAUACGUAGGGGGCAAGCGUUAUCCGGAUUUACUGGGUGUAAAGGGGGCGCAGACGGCGAUGCAAGCCAGGAGUGAAAGCCCGGGGCCCAACCCCGGGACUGCUCUGGAAACUGUCCGGCUGGAGUGCAGGAGAG
rnacentral:rRNA from 1 species